AAAAAACAAAUUAAAACCUAGAAGCCAGAACACAAAUUGCAUCUCUAAAUAAAGAUGGCCUGACCCAUCAACAAUAGCAAAAAAAUUCAAAUCAAUAGAGCAAAAACUCAAAUAUGAGAAUGAAGAAGCAGGCUCAGAAAUAUAAAUAUGCAUCUGGAGUACACUGAAUUUAAAAAGAAAGUAUCUUAACAUUCCUAGAAACCUAAAUGGCUGAAAUAACACAAUUACACAGUACAAAAAUAAACCGAGUGCAUUAAUCCCAACAUAUAAUCUCAUAUAAACGAAAUUCAGAAUAAAGCAUCUAAAAUAAAGUACCUCUAGAUAAAAGCUAAACAGACCCAUCAAAUAGCAAACAAUAUCCAAAUCAACAUUGAAAAAAACCCAAAUCCUAAAUCAAGAAAAAAAGUCGUAAAACAAAUAUUGAUAUCAAAGUAUAAAUCUUUACAUAUACAUGUACUGCAAGCAUAUAUAUAACUUAAUAAAUGAAUAGAACUUGCUAAAAACAAAUAGAAACACACAUAAAAUAGCUUCACAAUUUCCUCAAGACACAAAUACAAUAAAAUUCACAUCAUUUUACAAACCAUGAGAGAGUUCCAAGGAUCGUCUACUUUAUAUGUCAGCUUUUGCAGCGUAAUUUAGUGAUCUCUCACAAAAAUCAUUAUCUUGGUGAGUUUCCAUAAUACGGGGAAUGUUCCUUAUGCUUCAAACUCAAGACUUUCACCUCUUCCUUAUGAACCUGUAGAGUUAUAUGGUGCUCCGAUUGAUAUUCCUCUUAAUUCGGCUGCGAAAAAUGGAAUUGCUUACUAAUUCACACACCCACUAAAUAAGAUAAAUAAAGUUAUUAGUAACUAUCCAUUAAGACAUUAAAAAAAUGGGGUAGCUAUUCAAGAAUAAAAUUAUAUACAAUAGAUAUAAUUUUGUAUAUGAUUGUCAGAGAAACAAUGCCUAACACAUUGAGGCUCUUGAUUAAGCUUCAAAGAUAAAGAUUAAAGACAAAGAUAGCAAAUUAAAGAGUUUGAAAUGCUUUGCUAUGUAGUUAUUGGUUAUCCAACUAAAAGAGAAAGGUAAACUUCUCUUUUCAUUGUGUUAUUUUAGCAAAUAUGUGAUACACACAACUUCUAAAUAAUAUGAAAUCAAACUUGGUAACCUACAAUUAACAAAUAAAAUUUUUAAUUAGAUAACUUUGUAUUAAUCAAACACACUAUGCCAAAAAAAGCUUUUGAAGCCAGUAACUCGUUGAUCAAUCAUUGGUCACUAUCCCUCAUCUUACUCUGUUUCAUUAAAAUCUUUGAAGUUUAUGAGGUGCCAUUAAGCUUCUUCAGUUCAAUCAAAAAUUCAUUAUUAUUCAAUUCAAUCAAAAAUUCAUUAGGCAACAUACAAUUCAAACUAUUCAUGAAAGUAAUUAUUAAUUAAAAAAUAAUAACUACCUUUUAUCAUACUCCAUUCAUUCUAACUAUAAAAUCAAUUACCUUUGGAAUGAGGUAAUAUAAAAGCAUCUAAAUCGUCAUCAAAUACAGUCUCUUUAUCAAGCUGACACAUCACAUUCUUUUGUUGAGAACUACCUACAAAGCUCAAUAAAACCAAAACCAUUAACAAAAACUUUUUGUGAGAAUCCAUCCAACUCUUUUGUUGUAACUGCCCACAAAAUUUCAACCUUUAAAAUAUUUCAUGAGCAUUUAUAAAAUAUAUUUGAUGCAACAUAUUGCAAAUGUAAAGUAUACAUAUAACUAUUGUGAUCAAACAUAUGGAAUGUAAAAAAUAAAAUGAGUCAAAUACAAAAAUACAUAAGAUAUGAGUCAAAUAAAAUACAGAAGAUAUGAGACUACCAAAUAUAAAUAGCAAAACCCUUGAUCAAUUUAAGCCAAUUUUGUUCAAUCUCGCUGAAUUAAUUACCGAGUUGGUCUAACCUUGUGUAUUUAGCACAAUAAAUAUAUAUAUUACAAACACCUACUCAAGAACAAAACUGAAGCCCAAGUAAAAUCAAAUGAAUGGUUAAAACCAUAAUGAAAGCUGUGACACUGUUGACUUUGACUUUUUUCUCCUAGCAAGUUGACAAAAAUCUGAUUUGACAUUGUGUUAGUAAGUUUGGAUGGAAACUUUGAAAGUGAGGCAAAGUGACCUUUCAAUUACUGAGGAAGAGAAAUUUGAAAGAGGGGGGUGAUAAUAGCUUUUGUUCAUGAGUUAAGGAGAGAAAGUGGGGGUUAUUUUCCACCCAUUUCUCUCAUGUUGAAAGAGAAACCAACAAAUAAGAGUUUUGGGAAUAAAACAAUUAACAUCCUCCAAAAUACUUUAUUUUCCACCCUUUUUAAAAAGCACAAAUACUUUGUGAGAUCAUAGAUGAACUUAUAGAACCUCAGAAGAUACAAAAAGGCCAUAAACAGAAGACAAUUAUAGAGCACAACUCCUUUUAUAAUUGCAAUAGAAUGCUUAAUAUAUCAAAUAAAAUAAAUAGUAAAAGCUCUAUCUUAGAAGGUCAAAUAACAUGACCAAGUUUCUAAAUGUUGUCAAAUUUGAGAAAAAAUACAUCAGAUUACUCCUAGUAAGAUUCUGGAUAUACUUACAAUUUGCCGACUCCUCAUCCUCAUCGCACCAUUUGUUCCAAUCAACCUCAAGGUAUGGAGCAAUAAAUCAUUCAAUACAUUCAGAACAGAUAAUCCAAAUAUGAGAACAGACCGAUUGUAAACCAAAUUUCAUUCAAUUGUUAUGUUCUUUAUGGAUUAAACAAUCGUUCAACAAAGGAAUUGCUUCAAAAAACUAAAUACAUACUUAACAAACAACAAAUAAUUUUAACAAAGUAAUCACCACAUCAACCAGAAUGAAUUCAUACGUGAUAACUCGAUCAAAUAAUCGAAGAGAUCUGAGAAAAUAACUUGAGAUCACCAAAUAACUACUGUUCAAUUACAAAAUAGUCCCAUCAUCAGCCAAACUUGAAGGAAUUCAUAAAAUACUACUGAAAACAAUCAGACAGAUGGGAAACAGUUUCAAAUCAUCAAAAUUGCUAGGGUUUCAGUACAUGUGGAUCAAUAACAUUCAACAUUGAUCAAAUCCACAAUUAUAUAAACGCAUAAGCACCACAUAAAUCGUAAAAGUGAAGAAAACAAAAGAAUGAUGAUCAUAUAUAUACCUUCGAACCAAUUAAGCAUUGUUAUAUGCGUUGGUUGUAGAAUAUUUGUGGAAGAAUCAUAAAUCGGUUUAGCUACAAAAAUCAACAAACUUUAAAGCUUCGAUUUGCAAAAUAUCAAAAUAGGUAUGAUUGUGACAUUUUAUCAAACACCUCAUGCACAAUAUCAAAAUCUAAGAGAAAGAAAUUUGUAAUAUGGGAAAAAUCCAAACUUACCAGUGAUAGUAUUUUUCUUUUUUUUGCAGUUUAAGUGAAAUCUCCCACCAGAGUUCUUGAUGCCCGUGAGCUCGGUAAAAAGCUAAUUUGAUCACCAAGAGAAAAAGCUAAUCGCGGGGAUUGAGGGGUUUCUUAGAAAUCAUCAAGAGAAAAAGUACAAAAAAAAAGAUGAAUCAAUUAGUAGUAUAAUGAAAGUUUAACCUGGUAUUCGGAAACAAAAUUCAUCAGCCUAAUUGGAGCCGGAAAUCCUUCAUCAGCCAUCAGACGGUGGUGAUCUGCGAUUCGGCGAGGAUUGAGACAAUUUCAUGUUGGGAGUUAAAAUCAAGUUCCUCUUCAUUCUCCUCCAAACUCAUUAGCGGGAAAGACAGGAAGAAAGGAAUAGAACGAGGAAGACGUGAGUUAAGCAAAAAUGGAAAAGGAAGAGGAAGAGCCGAACGAUUGCCGAGGAUGAUUAUGAGGAAGAGAAAGAGGAAGAGGUGAGAUGAGACGAACUCGCUAAAUAGCUCAGCAAUAAGAAUGAAAUUGAACUAAAUUGACUCAAAUUG
rnacentral:lncRNA from 1 species